rnacentral:rRNA from 1 species
AACGAACGCUGGCGGCAUGCCUAACACAUGCAAGUCGAACGAGCCCUUCGGGGCUAGUGGCGCACGGGUGCGUAACGCGUGGGAACCUGCCCUUAGGUUCGGAAUAACUCAGAGAAAUUUGAGCUAAUACCGGAUAAUGUCUUCGGACCAAAGAUUUAUCGCCUUUGGAUGGGCCCGCGUUGGAUUAGCUAGUUGGUGGGGUAAAGGCCUACCAAGGCGACGAUCCAUAGCUGGUCUGAGAGGAUGAUCAGCCACACUGGGACUGAGACACGGCCCAGACUCCUACGGGAGGCAGCAGUGGGGAAUAUUGGACAAUGGGCGAAAGCCUGAUCCAGCAAUGCCGCGUGAGUGAUGAAGGCCUUAGGGUUGUAAAGCUCUUUUACCCGGGAUGAUAAUGACAGUACCGGGAGAAUAAGCCCCGGCUAACUCCGUG